ensembl:lncRNA
UAGCUGAUCAUUAUCUGCAGCCUGCUCUGAUCAUAGUGUAAUGAGACAGGAAGGGAGAGUGGGUUUGUCGGGUUGUGGUCGGCGAGUUAGCCCUGCGUGGCAUGGACUGUGCCACAAAACCAUUCUGAAGUGUCAAUAGAGAUGGAGAAUGGGAAGCAUGAUCUGUUGCUAGUCAAAGAGGAGAUAAGAGGACGGACCAGCGAACAUUGAUCUGCUGAAGAUGGAAGAGCAAGGUGGUUGGCUGGAGGCUAACAGAGGAGAGUGCGUGUCCAUCUUGGAUCCCAAGACCCAGAUGGGUGCAGCCAAGGGCCUAGGGGACGACAUCACAGAUCAGGC